GAGCUUGCUCUCGGGUGACGAGCGGCGGACGGGUGAGUAAUGUCUGGGAAACUGCCUGAUGGAGGGGGAUAACUACUGGAAACGGUAGCUAAUACCGCAUAAUGUCGCAAGACCAAAAGUGGGGGACCUUCGGGCCUCAUGCCAUCAGAUGUGCCCAAAUGGGAUUAGCUAGUAGGUGGGGUAACGGCUCACCUAGGCGACGAUCCCUAGCUGGUCUGAGAGGAUGACCAGCCACACUGGAACUGAGACACGGUCCAGACUCCUACGGGAGGCAGCAGCGGGGAAUAUUGCACAAUGGGCGCAAGCCUGAUGCAGCCAUGCCGCGUGUGUGAAGAAGGCCUUCGGGUUGUAAAGCACUUUCAGCGGGGAGGAAGGCGAUAAGGUUAAUAACCUUGUCGAUUGACGUUACCCGCAGAAGAAGCACCGGCUAACUCCGUGCCAGCAGCCGCGGUAAUACGGAGGGUGCAAGCGUUAAUCGGAAUUACUGGGCGUAAAGCGCACGCAGGCGGUCUGUCAAGUCGGAUGUGAAAUCCCCGGGCUCAACCUGGGAACUGCAUUCGAAACUGGCAGGCUAGAGUCUUGUAGAGGGGGGUAGAAUUCCAGGUGUAGCGGUGAAAUGCGUAGAGAUCUGGAGGAAUACCGGUGGCGAAGGCGGCCCCCUGGACAAAGACUGACGCUCAGGUGCGAAAGCGUGGGGAGCAAACAGGAUUAGAUACCUGGUAGUCCACGCCGUAAACGAUGUCGAUUUGGAGGUUG
rnacentral:rRNA from 1 species